rnacentral:ncRNA from 2 species
CCCAGUGACACGGGGCGCCGUAGCGGCUGAGAACACACCCGUCGAACCUGAUCCAGUCAGCACUGGCGUAGGGAAUGUCCGCUUGCCUUACG